UCAAAGAACUACCUGAUUCCAUUGGAAAUUUAGAAUUGCUGAUUGAGUUGGAUAUAUCUGAAAGUGAGAUCAAAGAACUCCCUGAUUCCAUUGGAAGUUUGGAAUCACUGAUUAAGUUGAAUAUAUCUAGUACGGUAAUCAAAGAACUACCUGAUUCCAUCGGAAAUUUAGAAUCGCUGAUUGAGUUGGAUAUAUCUAAAAGUGAGAUCAAAGAAUUACCUGAUUCCAUUGGAAAUUUGAAAUCGCUGAUUAAGUUGGAUAUAUGUGGAAGUGAGAUUAAAGAACUACCAGAU
rnacentral:lncRNA from 1 species